rnacentral:rRNA from 1 species
UACGAAGGGGGCUAGCGUUGCUCGGAAUCACUGGGCGUAAAGGGUGCGUAGGCGGGUUAUUAAGUCAGAGGUGAAAUCCUGGAGCUCAACUCCAGAACUGCCUUUGAUACUGAUAGUCUUGAGUAUGGGAGAGGUGAGUGGAAUUCCCAGUGUAGAGGUGAAAUUCGUAGAUAUUGGGAAGAACACCAGUGGCGAAGGCGGCUCACUGGCCCGUAACUGACGCUGAGGUGCGAAAGCGUGGGGAGCAAACAGG